AGGCAUGUUUGUUUGUUGUACAGGUCC
rnacentral:piRNA from 1 species